CACGUAGGGGGGCAAGCGUUGUCCGGAUUUAUUGGGCGUAAAGAGCUCGUAGGCGGCUUGGCAAGUCGGGUGUGAAAAACUCCAGGCUCAACCUGGAGAUGCCACUCGAGACUGCUAUGGCUAGAGUCCGGUAGGGGACCACGGAAUUCCUGGUGUAGCGGUGAAAUGCGCAGAUAUCAGGAGGAACACCAAUUGCGAAGGCAGCUCGCUGGGACGUGACUGACGCUGAGACGCGAAAGCGUGGGGAGCAAACAGG
rnacentral:rRNA from 1 species